GGAUAGAUAAUUCCUCAAUUAUAGGAUCGGUUUUUAGGAAAAUUUAGUUUUCUAAUUUACCCACUAGUUGGUUGUUUUAUAUAAACCUAAGGUGCCUGUAUAAUUCUUUGUGAACAGUUUUUCAAUAUACAUUCAAUUUUACUCUUAGUUUUUUACACAAUUUUAUUUCUUAGUUUUUUCACAUCAUAUCAGAGCCAAGACUUUAUUUCUGUUGCCCUUUCCUAACUUGUCAUGUGGAAGGCUUCUUUCAUCUUCACCUACAUGUGAUGGGGGCCUGUUGAAGUGGGUUAUCCCACGUCUAAUAAAUUUUCAAUUUUCUGUAGCCUUAUAUUCAAGUUGGACCCCUCCACUUCUGCCAAUUGAUUUUAAGUUGGAUAUUUAAUAGAAUCCAGUGAAAAAAGGUGUUAUUUAGUCACAUCUUUGAGGCAUUGCUUCCAUUUCGAGCAUCAAAUGUUUAUGGCUUCUGUUAAAGUUUCAGGCAAUCUAUUGAUCUGUACAGUAGUAUACCAUCUUCAAAUAUCCGGUUUUUGUGCGCUCCUGCGCCUUCAAGUUAGGCAGUUUCUUUCUUGCCUCAAAGGCACCUCUGCUACCAACGGUAGAUGAUCAAAUACAGCCACAAAGUCAUAGUUCGUACUCUCUGUUAACUCUGAUCCAUCAAGUAGACAAUCUUUAAGAGUCGAUGAGAAAACAUCUAAGAUCUCCCAUGAACAUCCAGAGCUCAUAUGGGCAAGCUUUGCUAAAUGGUUAGUUGCAUAACUUUUGGCCAUUCUCUUAGAUUGGUGAAAAUUUUAAGCUGUUUGGUUCUCUUGAAUGUUGCAUUUUGAGAAUUACUUCAUACCCGAAAAAGGGAUGUUAACAUUGCUUUGUUUCUGGCAGAUAAGUAAAAUUGUUUUUUGCUUGUGGAUUAUAGGGGAGAGUGGAAAUAAUUUCAUCCAAUUCUUCACAUGCUGUGGUAGAAAAUCGACAACCUUAUGAUGAAAUAAAAUAGCCUUGAGCAGAUCAUUGUUCCUUUUGUUAUAAGAUUUCAUUGAGGUUAUAUCAUUUGGUGAUUUCCAAUAUUUCCCUAGUAAUGGUGACUCAUAAUUGCUUAGUUCUCGUUAAUACUGUUCCUAUUAUCCUUUCGGAGUUUUUCAAGUUAUUGAGAUGUAUUAUCGGAGCUUGAACUUUGUAGAUCUCAGCAACUUACAGAACUUGACAAUGGCAGGGUAAUUUUAUCCUUUCUGUGGGUUACACUAUGAAAAUGUGUUUUUUUGUUGUACCAGAAAGGCUCACAACCCUCCAUGUCUUAUUGCUUGCUGUUUAUGUUUUUCUCUUUAAGUUCUUAAUGGCUAAGUGAAAAGUAUUUCACCACAUUCUUAACAGACAUUCUAUCAAGCUCUUCCUGUAAUGGACUUACAACAAAGCAAAUGCUGGUAACUUGAGGCAAUAACUAACUACUUUUAUCCAAAUUUUGGAGGCCUUUUUGCUAGAAAUUUUAUGCUAGUUUGAAGUUAAAACCAUGCCAACUAGGUAAAGUCAUUAGUGCACCAUUUUUAGAACAUACUUCAUAAUUUGAACAAAUACUUUUCUGAUUGCUUUAUUGAAGUCGGGCACAACUAAGGUUAACAUUGUUUCUUCUUUGGUUGGUGCUAAAAGUAGUGUCCAUAGUACAUUAGGUGACUUUUGCUUUCAGGGAUAUAAAUUAGACAUGCAACUAGCAAUCUUCAAUUUUUAUGCAUUUUGUGCAAGGCUACCUGUUGCUAUUUGAGAGUUUUUCAAGUUAUUGAGAUGUAUUACCAGAGUUUCUACUAAAGCACCUGCAACUAAUCAAAUGCAGCCGCAACUAAAGCUUCAAUUGGAUGCUUCUAUGGUUAGUGCUGAAAGAUAUGUUUCCAUAACACGGAGGUGACUUCAAGUUUCUGGGAUGGAUAGUAUGUAGACUAGCAACUAGUAAUCUUCUAUGUUUGCGCAUUGCAUUCCAAGCUGGAAGUUGCUAUUUGAGGUAUGCCUCAUAACUUGCUUCCUGUUAUAAGAAAUUAUUGCAAACUUGAGUCGAUUAUUGCUGGUUAGCUAAUCUAUUUUGGAGCUAAGAUAGAAGCUUGCUUUUUUCAAGAUUAUGCACCUUGAAAAUUGUCUACUACCAGCUUCAGCAAGUGGUGGAAUGUGUUUGUAGCAAGUGGAUAUGCUUCAUCUUAAAUUUUGGAUUGUCAAAGGCAACCUCGAGGAUGAUCUUACAUUGUUUCGCACUCCUCGUAUUGGUUAUGAUUGGGAUAUUGAUCCCUUGCUUUUGGAAUUAUUAGAGUUGAAUAACAACCACAAUCCCAACUACACACCUGGCAGGCAUUUUCAUAAGUGUUCUACAGAUUCAACAGAAAGGAGGGAGAGGAAGGUGUGGAAGAAGUCCUUCUCAAACCCAUUGUGUAUGCUGAAUCGAAAAUGAAAUGUUUUAUGUGAAUGAAGUGAGAUAUCGAUUAUAAACUUUUGUUAAUAUGUUGUAAACUUUUGGGGUGAAUCGUUUCCCCAACGGACUUGACAUAGUUGGAGCUUUCAAGAACAACCGAAUUAUCUGAUAUAUAUCAUCAAUAUGUUUUUUUCAUCCAGAUAUGCUUCCUGUUUUUGUCUUCAGAGUGAUUAAAGGUAGCAACUGACCAAAAUUGAAGUAGUUGGUCGGACUUGCAUGACAAACAAGCUCAUAAUCAAACUGAAAUGGUAAUUAUUGAUCUUCAAUUUGUUGUGCUGUGUUUCAGGUUGCCACUUCCAUCCUGUUACUUGUAUUGCAAUUUUGAGUUGGUUAUUGUCGUUUAUUUAAGUUAGGAUUAAUGUUGUUCAACUUAAAUUAUU